GUGGAAGAAGAGCGGGAAGGGGAAGUGGGAGCAGAUGCAGAGUCUGCCUGUUAGGGUUCCUUUUUGGGAGCCUCCUCUCAUACACAGAGGAUAUAAAUAACACGAUAGAAAAUAUGCUUCAGUCAUCCCCUUUUCUGAUCUAGAUUCCCGUUUCAAAAAGAUUUUUUUUUUUUUUUUAAAAACUCUUUAAAACGACUUCUUUUCUCGAAACCCAUUUCAAAACCCUCGAGUUCCUUGAGGAACUCUUUCGCUGCGAUGCGUCUCCGGUCACUGUGACCAUGAGUGACGCCUACUGAGCCGUGUCUCCUCUAUCACCAAGCAGAUAUGACGAGUAGGAUUCCGCGUAAAUGUUUCGAUUCCAGAGUAAAGAGUCUUUUGUUCUCGGCGGAGUUGAAGCGGUGGAGAAAGGACAUUAAAGCUUCACUUUUGGAUUUACAAGUAAGGGAGCGAUUGCCUCCAUAGAUAUUAGAAAGGAUGCCAUCGUCGGACUUUUUGGGAGGAAACCUGUACCGUAAUAUGGAUACCCAACCAAACCAAGAAGGAGAGGUUCAGAAGUGUAUCAGUGCUGCUGCUAAGAAUUCUGGGGAGAUGUUGGUUAAGGACUCUUUACCAGCAACUGUUGAAGUUGAAAAGGUUGAGGAUUGCAUUUCUGGGGAGCUGCUGGAUAAGGAUUCUUUACCAACUGUUGAAGUUGAAAAGGUUGGACAUUGCAUUUCUGAGAAGCUGUAAGCCUUGGUUAAAGAUUCUUUAAGGCUUCCUCCCAAAAAGUCCAGAGCUUGACGAUGACAUUCCUUCAAGUAUCUACGGAGGCCAAUAUUUCCCUUACUUGUGAAUCCAAAAGGAAAGUUUCAAUGUUCCUUUUCCACUGCUCCAACUCCAUAAGAACAAAAGCUCCUUCUCUAGAUCCGGAACUAUUCAUAUGUUGAAUCUUAACUUAUCAUAUGGUGUUUACGGCUUGGUGAUAGAAGAGACUGUGAUGGUAAAAAUUGAGUUACAUAUAUUUGAUUGUGCAUUCCACCGUCACAGCACAGUAGACGUUAUUUAUGGUGGCAGUGAUCAAAUAAACAUCGCAACGAAAGAGUUUCAAGAAACUCGAAGGUUUUGAGAUAAGUUUCGGUGAAGUUGAUGAAAUGAGAAGAUGAUGAAAUGUGAAGAGUAAUUGUUUUAAAGAGUUUUGAGAAAAAAAGUCUUCUUGAAACGGGAAUCAAAAUCGGAAACGGACUGACUCGGCAUAGUUUUUAUCAUGUUAACAAUGUCCUCAGUGUAUAGUUUUUAUCAUGUUAACUAUGUCCUCAGUGUACGGGAGGGGCUCAAGAAGGACAGUUAUCUUUAAUCUACAUUUCCAUCUGCUUCCACUUCCA